ensembl:lncRNA
GGACAAUUUAAAGGAGUUUCUUAUAAAAUACUACAGAACUUUAAAAUUUAGAGACGAAGCCAAGAAGACACUGCAGAGGUUUCAGCCUGAUGUGAACUGUUCUGCUUCUUUCUCCGGAUCCAUCACCCGCUUACCUGUCAGCUGUUUUUGAAGCCACAUUUCCGGGAUCACUACGGAGAUCAAUCACAGCGUUUCUCCCACAUCCCGAGACUCCUCGCCCGAGCCUGUACAGCCAGUGUGACAAAUCCACCCUGCGUGCGCGGGUAACCCCUUUCCCUCCGAAUGCGUGUCAGCCUCCUGCCCUGGUUUCCCUCUGUUUAUUCAUCAGUAUUAUCUCAUCCCGUGUAAAUAAGUUUGACACAGUAAAUAAAGAGCACUCCCUGCAUUUUCUGCGCUUCUGUGUAUUCUGCCAUAGAGUCCGUUCACUCAGCAUAACAAUAGAGGUGUAGUUUAUGUCUGUGAACAGUGAACACCCGUGUGCACACCUGUGUGGAUCAGCCCGCUUGUAUUCAAAAGGUUUCCCCAUGUAAUGCUCUGCUAGAGGGUGUAGAGGGCCAUAGCCCCGCCAUAGCUGGACUGGCGAUUGGCGAUUUUUUGU